UAGGCUGCAACUCGCCUACACGAAGUCGGAAUCGCUAGUAAUCGCGGAUCAGCAUGCCGCGGUGAAUACGUUCCCGGGCCUUGUACACACCGCCCGUCACACCAUGAGAGCUGGGAACACCCGAAGCCCGUAGCCUAACCUGCAAAGGAGGGCGCGGUCGAAGGUGGGCUUAGUAAUUGGGGUGAAGUCGUAACAAGGUAGC
rnacentral:rRNA from 1 species